GACGAACGCUGGCGGCGUGCUUAACACAUGCAAGUCGAACGGAAAGGCCCUGCUUUUGUGGGGUGCUCGAGUGGCCAACGGGUGAGUAACACGUGAGUAACCUGCCCUUGACUUUGGGAUAACUUCAGGAAACUUGGGCUAAUACCGGAUAGGAGCUCCUGCUGCAUGGUGGGGGUUGGAAAGUUUCGGCGGUUGGGGAUGGACUCGCGGCUUAUCAGCUUGUUGGUGGGGUAGUGGCUUACCAAGGCUUUGCGGGGUAGCCGGCCUGAGCUGGUAACAGGACACGUAGGGAUGGAGAUGAGACACAGACCAGUACGGGAGGCAACAGUGGGGAAUAUUGCACAAUGGAAGGAGGACUAAUGCAGCAAAGCAGCGUGGGGGAUGACGGCAAUGGGGUAGUAAACCGCUUUCGCCUGUGACGAAGCGUGAGUGACGGUAAUGGGUAAAGAAGCACCGGCUAACUACGUG
rnacentral:rRNA from 1 species